ACGGGUGAGUAAUAUAUCGGAACGUGCCCUAGAGUGGGGGAUAACUAGUCGAAAGACUAGCUAAUACCGCAUACGAUCUAAGGAUGAAAGUGGGGGAUCGCAAGACCUCAUGCUCCUGGAGCGGCCGAUAUCUGAUUAGCUAGUUGGUGGGGUAAAAGCCUACCAAGGCGACGAUCAGUAGCUGGUCUGAGAGGACGACCAGCCACACUGGGACUGAGACACGGCCCAGACUCCUACGGGAGGCAGCAGUGGGGAAUUUUGGACAAUGGGGGCAACCCUGAUCCAGCAAUGCCGCGUGAGUGAAGAAGGCCUUCGGGUUGUAAAGCUCUUUUGUCAGGGAAGAAACGGUGGUAGCUAAUAUCUACUACUAAUGACGGUACCUGAAGAAUAAGCACCGGCUAACUACGUGCCAGCAGCCGCGGUAAUACGUAGGGUGCAAGCGUUAACCGGAAUUACUGGGCGUAAAGCGUGCGCAGGCGGUUGUGUAAGACAGAUGUGAAAUCCCCGGGCUCAACCUGGGAAUUGCAUUUGUGACUGCACGGCUAGAGUGUGUCAGAGGGGGGUAGAAUUCCACGUGUAGC
rnacentral:rRNA from 1 species